AAAAAGACAUUGAACGGAAAGAGUAGCAGGCAAUGAAACCGACAGAGAGAAGCUGCCGCCGGCUGAAAGCAGCUUUGGGGAAGAAGGACUGUGAAGUGCGUCCGGGAGUCGAUCCGGCGAAGGGAUACGAGUCUUUGUAGCCGGAUACGGGUUUACACACGUUAUGUGUAUCAGAGCGGAGAAUUAAGAUGGAUUUUCAGGCUGAUUAUUUUGGCGGGAUGCGGAUAAGACAUCAGGAGUUCUCUAUGAGAGUGGAACCGCGGAGUGAUGCUUCGUCUCUUGA
rnacentral:ncRNA from 1 species